rnacentral:rRNA from 1 species
UACGAAGGGGGCUAGCGUUGCUCGGAAUCACUGGGCGUAAAGCGCACGUAGGCGGCUUGUUAAGUCAGGGGUGAAAUCCUGGAGCUCAACUCCAGUACUGCCUUUGAUACUGGCGAGCUUGAGUCCGGGAGAGGUGAGUGGAACUGCGAGUGUAGAGGUGAAAUUCGUAGAUAUUCGCAAGAACACCAGUGGCGAAGGCGGCUCACUGGCCCGGUACUGACGCUGAGGUGCGAAAGCGUGGGGAGCAAACAGG